CAAAUCCGACCCCAAAUUCUCAACCAAGAUGUCCAGUUUGAAGAAUACUCUGCUGGUUGUGGCUCUGAGCUUAUGCUUGCUUCUUCUGGGUUUUUCCUACUCUGCCGAGGCAGCUGCAAGACCAAUUACUGAUGUUGCAGCAAAUCGACGAUGUGAUGUCAGAUAUUUUUGUGCUGAUGAUCAUGAUCCUCAGUGUAGUAAGUCAUGUCUACAAUUAGGUUUUCGGGGAGGCAUUUGUUUGCCCCCUGAUGCUUCAUCAAAUCAUGAGAAGAAGAUUGAUGUUAACCGGUUUGCAGUUGUAACGCUACCUGGUUGUUGUUGUUAUCAUUAAUCUUGUCUUUCCAAUGUCCCAAACUAAUGAUAAUAAUCAUAUAAAAAAAUAAAAAUGAUUGGUCUACCUGGCCUUUUUAUUAUUAUUUGUUCUUUUUUUUUUUUCAUUUAGGAAAUGAAAAUUAACGAUCAAUGAUCUGUUCUGUUCUCACCUUUGUUCGUAAAAGAUAACGAAGACCUAUUUUGUGUCUAUACAUAUAUUUAUAAUUAUGUGAGCACUCAAAGGACAAGGAAAAAAAACAUGAGAGAGAGAGAGAGAUCGCAAAUCUGGAGAAAACUCAGGCGACAAAUCGGUGACCGACUCAGUUAUUUUUUAUCGAAACUUCUGAUGAUUAAUAAACAGCCAGCAAUUCUGGAUGGUACAAGUGAACUUGGUGGGAUUCAAUCAAGCAAUCACAGAGAAAAUUUAAAUGCAUAUGGUGUUACUGGGUUAGAAACACAAAUGAUGGGUUUACAGAUGGAAUUAGGGCAGACAAAGAAAGAGUAUGAGAAAGGUUUGAAGAGUGGAAUUCAAGGUGAUGGCAUGAAUAUGAGUAUUGAUUAAUCAGAUGAUAGUGGAGAUACCCAUCGUGGUUCCAUACAAAUUUGGUUUGAAUUUAGAUUGAAGAAUCAGUUGAAAAAAUUGUCUUGUAUUCAAUGUUGUCUUGAAGGUACCGAUGCUGCAGUCAUAGUGGAUUCUUCUGCUCCCAUAGGUCCUACUCAAGAGAUUUUUGAGAAGCCCUUCUUUGAAUCAGUGGCAAAGGCUAUUCGACCUAGAGGAGUUGUAUGUACCCAGGAAGAAAGCAUAUGGCUUCAUAUGCCCAUCAUCGAAGAUAUUGUAUCAAACUACUUCCAGAUAUUUAAAGGCUCAGUUAACUAUGCAUGGACGACAGUACCCACCUAUCCUAGGUUAGCAUUACUCUCUAUGGCAAUUCAGAUCUUCCGGGGCAUCUGAUUUUAUGACUUUUUUUUGCUUGAUAUGAUGUGCGGUUCUUUGUGUGUGUGUGUUUAUUGCAGUUAACCAUCCUUACCUAGUGAUCUACUCCCGAAGUGCAGCACAAAGGAAUACGAUUGAUGGAAAUGAUGGAGGCAAAGAUUGUGGUCUUUUUCAUGACUCGGUGGAGGAUCCAUUUUGAAGCGGAUGAGAUAUACAAAGUAUGUAGUGAGAUUGGAAGGCCAUCUCAGAGAGAGGUGGACAGACAUGAGCAUGUUCUCCUAGCCAAAAAAAUCGGUGUCUUGAAGUUAAAUAUUGUUCUAAUAGUAUGACGCUAGUACUGGAUAUCUAUGAUUGUGAAGGAUUAAGCUGCUAAUUGACCCUUUAAACUGGUGUUGAAUUUAAAACUAACCCAAGUGAAUUUCAUGAUAACCAGGAAAGCUCUCAACUUGGUUGAGUACCUGCUACAAGAGAACAAUUCAGAUUGUAAUGUGAUAACGGAACUAGGAUUUCCUUGUACUAUGAGAAAUACCCCAUUCAAUGGAAAUAAUCCAGUUCAGGUGCAAUUAUGUUAGUUCGUAAUAUUUACUUAUGAACCUUAGUAGCUAUUCGUUAUGGCGCAUGAUUGAUGUAACCAAGGAGAGAUGAAAUACAAAGAGACUAUAAUGAGAACUGCAAUCGAGUUAUUAUUACAUGACAGUUAACAUCAAGGAGAAUACAAGGUGGCAAUACUGGAAAUGCUUGAAUUAUCCACAACGAAAGAGAUGAAUUAAACUACAACGUACAUCUGGUUUACUUGAAAGAUAAGCAUUCCUUAACGUUACUUAUACCCCCAUCUGAGUUUGAAUUACUAAGACCUUAAUCUGGUAUGUUUCUUGUGAGAGAAAGCGUACAAAGUUAUUUUUGAUCUGUGACAUAUAAAGUUUUAUACUAAUGAAUGAGCUCACUUAUAGUCUUCUUCUUCUUCCACUUAUAUCUCCCCUGCGCACAUAUGAUUACUAGUUUAGCUUGUGCAAGUAUCUUCUUCUUCCCUUGUAUCUGUCUUCUAUUUCCCCGAAGCUUCUGUUUUGUUGCAAUCUUCUCCUAUCGUAGUUAUGGUUGUGCGAUAACUUUCCUGCAGUUUGUGGCCAAUACUGCAUGUAUUUAUAUACAUCUUCCCCCCAGCUAAUAUUAUUAUUUAUUAAGUUACAUAUGUGAUGUGCCCUGCAAUAAAUUAGCCAACUGUUAUCUACAUGACCUAUAUGUCAAAUUACCUCACACAUGUGCUUUCAGCUACUACCCAUUGCUGGAAUGUCUGUCAAAUUACCUCACACUGUUGUACAUGACCUAUAUCUAGUAACUUAUUUUGUUCUACCGUGUAUUAUGAACUGAACGAAGUCAUUGUACUAUUGUUGGUUUGCUUUGCAGGAAGUCGCAUGUAAACCAAGGGCACAUCACAUGGAUGCUCUGCUUGAUAUCAUUUGUGAAGUAUUGGCUAAUUAAUUUCGUUGUCAUAGGAGGAGUUGAAUUAUCAUUUUUUUUUAUUAGUUGUCUAUUAGUUUAGCAUGUUGUUGUCAGAACUUAGCUAUCUUGGACAUGUAUUCUAUGAACUCAGUAUUGCAUCUUUUUUGUGUAGUUUUACA